rnacentral:rRNA from 1 species
CCUACGGGUGGCAGCAGUGAGGAAUAUUGGUCAAUGGACGAGAGUCUGAACCAGCCAAGUAGCGUGAAGGAUGACUGCCCUAUGGGUUGUAAACUUCUUUUAUAUGGGAAUAAAAUGUUCCACGUGUGCGUUUUUGUAUGUACCAUAUGAAUAAGGAUCGGCUAACUCCGUGCCAGCAGCCGCGGUAAUACGGAGGAUCCGAGCGUUAUCCGGAUUUAUUGGGUUUAAAGGGUGCGUAGGUGGAUUGUUAAGUCAGUUGUGAAAGUUUGGGGCUCAACCGUGAAAUUGCAGUUGAAACUGGCAGUCUUGAGUAUAGUAGAGGUGGGCGGAAUGCGUGGUGUAGCGGUGAAAUGCUUAGAGAUCACGAAGAACUCCGAUUGCGAAGGCAGCUCACUGAACUGCAACUGACACUGAGGCACGAAAGUGUGGGUAUCAAACAGGAUUAGAUACCCUUGUAGUC